rnacentral:rRNA from 1 species
UAGGGAAUCUUCGGCAAUGGACGGAAGUCUGACCGAGCAACGCCGCGUGAGUGAAGAAGGUUUUCGGAUCGUAAAGCUCUGUUGUAAGAGAAGAACGAGUGUGAGAGUGGAAAGUUCACACUGUGACGGUAUCUUACCAGAAAGGGACGGCUAACUACGUGCCAGCAGCCGCGGUAAUACGUAGGUCCCGAGCGUUGUCCGGAUUUAUUGGGCGUAAAGCGAGCGCAGGCGGUUAGAUAAGUCUGAAGUUAAAGGCUGUGGCUUAACCAUAGUAGGCUUUGGAAACUGUUUAACUUGAGUGCAAGAGGGGAGAGUGGAAUUCCAUGUGUAGCGGUGAAAUGCGUAGAUAUAUGGAGGAACACCGGCGGCGAAAGCGGCUCUCUGGCUUGUAACUGACGCUGAGGCUCGAAAGCGUGGGGAGCAAACAGGAUUAGAUACCCUGGUAAUCCACGCUGUAAACGAUGAGUGCUAGGUGUUAGACCCUUUCCGGGGUUUAGUGCCGUAGCUAACGCAUUAAGCACUCCGCCUGGGGAGUACGACCGCAAGGUUG